rnacentral:misc_RNA from 1 species
CUUCACAAUUUGCUCUUAAUUUGUAGAGACAACACACAACAAAAUCAUAUACACCAAACCCAGUUGACCGAGGGCUAACCCUCAGCUAGGCCGUGAAGAACAAAAUCUUUACUUGCCCUUCUGGGCAGAGAAAGCCAUGUUGAGAGAAACUUGACGACUUCAAAAGAUGAAAAAAAAAAGGGAAACAAAUUGAGAGGAAAUUUCUC